CAGUCGCCGCGGUAAUACGUAGGUGGCGAGCGUUGUCCGGAAUUAUUGGGCGUAAAGGGAGCGCAGGCGGGCGAGUAAGUCUUUCUUAAAAGUGCGGGGCCCAACCCCGUGAGGGGAGAGAAACUACUCAUCUUGUGUGCAGAAGAGGAAAGUGGAAUUCCAUGUGUAGCGGUGAAAUGCGCAGAGAUAUGGAGGAACACCAGUGGCGAAGGCGACUUUCUGGUCUGUAACUGACGCUGAUGUGCGAAAGCGUGGGGAUCAAACAGGAUUAGAUACCCCCGUAGUCCCUGUCUCUUAUACA
rnacentral:rRNA from 1 species